GCGCGCCGCCCCCAGCCGGCCCGCCCCCGCCUCCUUAUUGGUCCAUACAAGGCGCCUCGGUCACGUGAGAAAAACGUUCGCAGGUUCUUCAGUCACGUGACGGAGCUGGCUUCCUUGGGGUGGGCCCCGUGACGUGACCCUGGGCGUGGCAUCCACGUUGCGGGUGGCGUUUCCCUUCCCCGACCCGGUCCCGCCGUCUGCACCCCUGGAGAGCAGGGCUGCUAGCCUGGGCGCGCGGUGAGCAGCAGGGCGGGCUGCACGGCGGAACGCCGAGAGCAAGGACGCAGAUCUAGGGCGCGGGGUGCCUGUGCUGAGGACGCAGCGCUGGACUCGGAGUCCGGAGUUGGAGGGGCCGCCCGGGUCACGUAGUACAGAUUUCCUGGGCGUCUGUCCGGGCCGACAGGUCGUGGCAAGACUGUCCGCAUCCAAGCGGGGUCAGGGACUCGGACACAAGCAGCAGCCAUCAGCUCCAAAAAGAGAGAAAUACCGGAAAGAGUGUACCUGGCAGAGGGAGGAGCUAACGCAGAGGCUCGGCAGUGCACGGGAGAGCGAACCCGCUCUGUGAGCUUUGCAGAGGGGUUGGGGCUGCCAGAGGUGAGGAGGGGCACUACCGGGAAACCCUGAAAUGGAUGAAAAGGAAUCGUGGUUAUGCACGUUUUGCAAAGACCCUAGAGUGUUCGAAGGAGCGUGUGUUCAUCGACUGCAAAGUCUCCCGCUUACUCUGGACUUCUGUGCCCAAGAGUGUGGAAGGGAGGUCCUGGAGCGGCUCGCUGACCCCGAGUUCCCCGCAGCACCACUUUUGAUGGCUCUCUGAAGGGCUUCGGGCGAGCGUCCUUUGUUCCUGUAGGGCCGGCCUUGCCCUUCUGGUUCUUUGGGUGGUGGGGAGGCUGCGUGUGUCCCCUAGCCUCUUGCUCUCCAGGCUCACUUUCAUCCUUAUUGCCUUACCCUCAAAUCCCUACUGGAGGACGUUGCUUUCCCUUUCCCCUCCAAUGUUCUCCCUCCCAGCCCUUAGCUCAGCCGACUGACCCCAACCUCCUCUUUUCCUUGGUGCAAUCCUUCAGUAGAUCUUGAUUGCUAUACUCUCCAGAUGGCAACAUGGCCCUCCUCUUUAAGCCACCCAUCUGUCACCUGGAUGACUACAACAGCACUCAGUGGCCUUCAGCCUCCACCCUAUCCCAGCUACUUCACCCUCCAUGCAGCAGAAGGGCCUCUACCUUGUCUUCAUGUUCCAGUGGUUGCCAUAAAAUCCAGACUCUUGACCCUGAACCUGCAGGAUCCCAGGUCCCACCCAUUUCUCCACCUGUCUCCUCCCUUUGAUCAUCUGUGUGCCUUGCCAGUUCUCUGGACCACUUCCACCACUCCUCCUGGACCUGGGGAUCUUGGCACCUCCUGUUCUCUCCACUGUGGCCUUCUGCCUUCUCACAAGCUGACUUCUUUUCCUUGGGCUCAGCUGCAGCAGCACCUACAGGCCUUCAGUGCCCGCUCCCGUUGUCCUCUCUAGCUAAGAGACCAGCCCAGUUGGGGCCAUGAUGCUUAUCAUUGCAACAUUAUUUCAUAUGUUUAUUUACUUAAUGUCUAUCUUCCUGAUUGGUGUUUCAGCCUCAGUGGGGUUGGGGGUGGGCUACUUCUGCUUUGCACAUUGCUGUAUCCUAGUGUGUCACUCGCGGCCUGGCCCUUCCUGAAUGAUAAGUAGAUAGGUGUUAGGAACCAUUAAAGCUGAGCCGCAGCCCGGCAUGGUAGCACACACCUAUAAUUCCAGUGGCUUGGAAGGCUGAGAUAGGAGGAUGGCAAGUUCAAAGACAGCCUCAGCAAUGGCAAGGUGCUAAACAACUCAGUGAGACCCUGUCUCUAAAUAAAAUACUAAAAAAGGACUGGGAAUGUGGCUCAGUGGUAGAGUGCCCCUGAGUUCAAUCCCCGGUACCAAAAAAAAGAAAAAAAAACGGCUGAGCUGCCAUUCACUCAGUCGCGGCAUAGUAAGGAAAGAAACAAAUCCAGCCUCCAGCCCUCUGCCCAGGUGCCAACCUUCCCUGUACCAUAGCUGUCCCUACAGUCUGCAUAGAAAAUGCAGCUGUAGCCAUUUGCUACCUCACUGUUCCUCCUUUCUGGAUACCUUGCCCUGGGAUAGCCUGGCCUUCCCAGCUUCUCCUCCAGCCCCACUGAGCAGCCGACUGGAGCAGCAAGUGGAUGAAGAGUCCUCUGCAGGCAAGAGAGGAAGGCUGUUGAGUAAUCAACGAUCCCAUGUCUGUCCCGGAUACGGAUGGUGCUGUAGUAUCUUGUCCCCUGAGGUCUUUGGCCCAAGGGGAAGGAAGACAGGGACUUUGCUAAGGAGUCUGUCUUUGAUCACUCUCCCACCCCCUCAACAAAAGUCAGAAAUCAUCUGGGGUUUCCGUAGGACUUGGAAACCAAAAAGGAGCCUAGCGCUGGGAGCCAGGAUACCUGGGUUUCCUGUCUUAGAUUCCACACUGGCAUGUUCUGGGACCAUGGAAGCCCCUUCCAGGCUUGGGCUGUUUCCUCAUCUCUAUACUGUGCUGGGGGAGGGUGGAGGGAGCAUAUGGUACUCCCUGAGGACCCUUUCCAACUUGUCUUGCUGUGACCCUGAAGGGGCCCCCUGGAGGUUCCGGCGCCCUCAUCUCCCGGGCACUGGAGAGAGCCUAUAACUGAUGUCCUACUUCCCCCUCUCCCCAGCUCCUGGGCUGUGAGUUUAGAUGGGAGUCUCUGCAGGGCUUGCAGGUGACACAUCCAAUCACAGGCUUCAGGCCCCAGAAGAGAGGAGCCAGCAGCCAAGGGGAACUUCUUUUGUGGGAUGAGAGAUGGGUAUUGGAACCCAAAGAGGACCAGGGUCUGCGCUGUAAGCCUCGUAACCUUGCUUAUAUGUGGGAGUCGGGGCCCCUCUCUAGGCCUCUUUUUAAAAAAAGAAAAAAAAUUUUUUUUGUGGUUGUAGAUAAACGAAUGCCUUUA